rnacentral:rRNA from 1 species
UUAAGUGAAUAAGGGCGCACGGUGGAUGCCUUGGCACUAGGAGCCGAUGAAGGACGGGACUAACACCGAUAUGCUUUGGGGAGCUGUAAGUAAGCUAUGAUCCAGAGAUUUCCGAAUGGGGGAACCCAAUAUCUUUUAUAGGAUAUUACUUUUCAGUGAAUACAUAGCUGAUUAGAGGUAGACGCAGAGAACUGAAACAUCUUAGUACCUGCAGGAAGAGAAAGAAAAUUCGAUUCCCUGAGUAGCGGCGAGCGAAACGGGAAGAGCCCAAACCAACAAGCUUGCUUGUUGGGGUUGUAGGACUCCAAUAUGGUAGUCUGUUAGUAUAGUUGAAGGAUUUGGAAAAUUCCGCUAAAAAGGGUGAAAGCCCCGUAGACGAAAUGCUGACAACACCUAGGAGGAUCCUGAGUACGGCGGAACACGAGAAAUUCCGUCGGAAUCCGCGGGGACCAUCCCGCAAGGCUAAAUACUCCCUAGUGACCGAUAGUGAACCAGUACCGUGAGGGAAAGGUGAAAAGCACCCCGGAAGGGGAGUGAAAUAGAUCCUGAAACCGUGUGCCUACAACAAGUCAAAGCUCGUUAAUGAGUGAUGGCGUGCCUUUUGUAGAAUGAACCGGCGAGUUACGAUUGCAUGCGAGGUUAAGUCGAAGAGACGGAGCCGCAGCGAAAGCGAGUCUGAAUAGGGCGAAUGAGUAUGUAGUCGUAGACCCGAAACCAUGUGAUCUACCCAUGUCCAGGUUGAAGGUGCGGUAAAACGCACUGGAGGACCGAACCCACGUACGUUGAAAAGUGCGGGGAUGAGGUGUGGGUAGCGGAGAAAUUCCAAACGAACUUGGAGAUAGCUGGUUCUCUCCGAAAUAGCUUUAGGGCUAGCCUCGGAAUUGAGAAUGAUGGAGGUAGAGCACUGUUUGGACUAGGGGCCCAUCUCGGGUUACCGAAUUCAGAUAAACUCCGAAUGCCAUUCAUUUAUAUCCGGGAGUCAGACUGCGAGUGAUAAGAUCCGUAGUCGAAAGGGAAACAGCCCAGACCACCAGCUAAGGUCCCAAAAUAUAUGUUAAGUGGAAAAGGAUGUGGGGUUGCACAGACAACUAGGAUGUUGGCUUAGAAGCAGCCACCAUUUAAAGAGUGCGUAAUAGCUCACUAGUCGAGUGACCCUGCGCCGAAAAUGUACCGGGGCUAAACAUAUUACCGAAGCUGUGGACUACACCAUUAGGUGUAGUGGUAGGAGAGCGUUCUAAGGGCGUUGAAGGUCGAUCGUGAGGACGGCUGGAGCGCUUAGAAGUGAGAAUGCCGGUAUGAGUAGCGAAAGACAGGUGAGAAUCCUGUCCACCGUAUGACUAAGGUUUCCUGGGGAAGGCUCGUCCUCCCAGGGUUAGUCGGGACCUAAGCCGAGGCCGAUAGGCGUAGGCGAUGGACAACAGGUUGAUAUUCCUGUACCAGUUGUUUUUGUUUGAGCAAUGGAGGGACGCAGUAGGCUAAGGAAUGCAUGCGAUUGGAAGUGCAUGUCCAAGCAAUGAGUCUUGAGUAGAGUUAAAUGCUUUACUCUUUAAGGACAAGUUGUGACGGGGAGCGAAAUAAUAGUAGCGAAGUUCCUGAUGUCACACUGCCAAGAAAAGCUUCUAGUGAGAAAACAACUGCCCGUACCGUAAACCGACACAGGUAGUCGAGGAGAGUAUCCUAAGGUGAGCGAGCGAACUCUCGUUAAGGAACUCGGCAAAAUGACCCCGUAACUUCGGGAGAAGGGGUGCUGACUUCGGUCAGCCGCAGUGAAUAGGCCCAAGCGACUGUUUAUCAAAAACACAGGUCUCUGCAAAAUCGUAAGAUGAAGUAUAGGGGCUGACGCCUGCCCGGUGCUGGAAGGUUAAGAGGAUGGGUUAGCUUCGGCGAAGCUCAGAAUUGAAGCCCCAGUAAACGGCGGCCGUAACUAUAACGGUCCUAAGGUAGCGAAAUUCCUUGUCGGGUAAGUUCCGACCCGCACGAAAGGCGUAACGAUUUGGGCACUGUCUCAACGAGAGACUCGGUGAAAUUUUAGUACCUGUGAAGAUGCAGGUUACCCGCGACAGGACGGAAAGACCCCAUGGAGCUUUACUGUAGUUUGAUAUUGAGUGUUUGUACCACAUGUACAGGAUAGGUAGGAGCCGAUGAGACCGGAACGCUAGUUUCGGAGGAGGCGCUGGUGGGAUACUACCCUUGUGUUAUGAACCCUCUAACCCGCACCACUAAUCGUGGUGGGAGACAGUGUCAGAUGGGCAGUUUGACUGGGGCGGUCGCCUCCUAAAAGGUAACGGAGGCGCCCA